rnacentral:rRNA from 1 species
UACAGAGGUCCCAAGCGUUGUUCGGAUUCAUUGGGCGUAAAGGGUGCGUAGGCGGCGCGGUAAGUCGGGUGUGAAAUCUCGGAGCUUAACUCCGAAACUGCAUUCGAUACUGCCGUGCUUGAGGACUGGAGAGGAGACUGGAAUUUACGGUGUAGCGGUGAAAUGCGUAGAGAUCAUGAGGAAGACCAGUGGCGAAGGCGGGUCUCUGGACAGUUCCUGACACUGAGGCACGAAGGCCAGGGGAGCAAACAGG